AGGAUGAAGCUUAAUGAGGUCUGUGUGGUCACAGAGGGAUAAAACACUAUGAGAUCAGAUGUGGCCCUGUGUUGUGUGUGAGAGCAAGACCUUUGAGCUGAAUUCACAUUACCUGAGCCAUCACCAGGACUGGAACAUUCAUUGGCGUUUUCAGAAGAUUAUAUACAAAACCACUACAGAGAUAAAAGAAGACUUGAAAGGGGAGGAUUUCUGAAAGUACCCUUAAAGAAGUGGAAAAGAUGGGAAAUCACUGAAUUUUCAAGAAUGAAGACAGGAUAUGCAAACACAAACAAGGUCAAAAUUAGAAGGAAGAGGUGGUAUUUAAAAAUACAGCUACAAAGUGCCUUAAUUAUAUCAAGACAGAAAUGAAUAGUCCAUGAUUUAGCAACUGCAGUACAACUAGGAGAAAUGAUGCAUUGAAGGUAGAUGGGACUUGAGCUAGUAGGUGACGACAGAAAAUUUGCACUGGAGGACCAAGAUACCAUACUUUUCCAGCCUAGAAAUGGACCAUUACAGAAGGGAAUGCAGAUGAACAUGGCUGAACUCAGUGCUGCAGUUUACAGAAGUAUCUGCUCACAGCACAGAAUGACACAUGGCUUGUCCUACAUCACAGACAACACUAAGCAGUGUAUGGGAACAGUAGACAAGGAAAAGAAUUGUAGAAUCAUUGAAUCGCCAAAGCUGAAAAAGAUCUCCAAGACCAUCCAGUCCAACUUUCCACCUACCACCAGUAUUUCCCACUAAACCAUGUCCAUCAAUACAACAUCCAAAUGUUUCUUGAACACUUCCAGGGACAGUGAUCUAACCACCUCCUUGGGCAGCCCAUUUCAGUGCCUAACCACUCCUUUGGAGAAUAAAUUUUUCCUAUUAUCCAACCUGAACCUCCCUUGGCACAAAAGAACAAAUAACAAGUGGUUUGGUUUUUCUGUCACAGGUUGUUGGUGUGGUUAAUAUUCUCUGCUUCAGUACUCUGCGUUUACAACUCUUUUGCAAUGAGGUCACACUGACAAGCCACAAACACUGCUUGUUCCUUUUAAGAAAUAGUGAUUGCUAGACGCAAAUGAAUUCAGGGAUGGCUGAGAGGUGAUCUUGCAAGACUUCAAAAUAUCAAAGUGUGUCAUUCUGAUAUGCCUGAUAAAAGUGUUAUUUAAAUAUCCAUGGAAACCAACCUUCACAUUCAACUCAGGGGCUUUGGUCAUAAAUAAAAUACUGGACUGUGAAGGGAUUUCAAAGAUAUACCUUGUCUUUUUGAUCUCUGCAGUUAAUUCUUUCUCUCAACUUGGUCCUUAGAAAGGCGAUUGAAAGUGCAGCUAAGCUAAACGUUCCGUGGGAGUGCUCUGAUCUGUUUACUGCUUUGAUGUUCUCUGUAGGCUACUGCUUCCUGUGAACCAGGAUUCCAUGGCAAAAUAUAUGUGAUUCUCCAUCUCUUUUUUUAAAAGAUUUAAUAUGCAUUUCUCUCUGCUUGUAUCUAUAUUUGCACAUGACGGGUGAGAAGCAGACACAUGGUCCUCUAUUUCCAGAGAGGUGUUCAAAAAAAGACACCAAAAUCUGUCAGAUAUCUUCAAAGCAAGUUUGGAAUUCUGUGUUACCUUUAUCAGGAUCCUCCCCAAUUUUUUAGUUGUAUAAACAGUAUUUAAGCCUUGAUGACCAUUUAACUAAAUUAAGCAAACAAACAAACAAACAAACACAGAAUUGUUGGUAUUACAUUUGAAUUGAAGGACACAAACAAUGCAUAUUCUUUCUUUGCUGAUUUUGAACCAGAAUAUUUGAACCAGAUUUUGAACCAGAUUAUUUUCCUGCCAGUGGAUAAAAGUUACAGUAUUACUUAGAACAGCCUUUUUAACAUCAUCAUUAUAAAAAUGUUACCUUUAUAACUUGUUUAUCAAUUGACUAUUUUGUAAAACUGCAGUUGGCUUAUCUGAUUGGUAAUGCUAAAAUAUCCUUCCAAUGUUUUAAAUUUUCACCAAAAAUAUCUCGG
ensembl:lncRNA